GACGAACGCUGGCGGCGUGCUUAACACAUGCAAGUCGAGCGGUAAGGCCCUUUCGGGGGUACACGAGCGGCGAACGGGUGAGUAACACGUGGGUGACCUGCCUUCAGCUUCGGGAUAAGCCUGGGAAACUGGGUCUAAUACCGGAUAGUCACUGGUGCCUGCAUGGGUGUUGGUGGAAAGUUUUUUCGGCUGGAGAUGGGCCCGCGGCCUAUCAGCUUGUUGGUGGGGUGAUGGCCUACCAAGGCGACGACGGGUAGCCGGCCUGAGAGGGCACCGGCCACACUGGGACUGAGAUACGGCCCAGACUCCUACGGGAGGCAGCAGUGGGGAAUAUUGCGCAAUGGGCGAAAGCCUGACGCAGCGACGCCGCGUGGGGAUGAC
rnacentral:rRNA from 1 species